UACGUAGGGUGCAAGCGUUGUCCGGAAUUACUGGGCGUAAAGGGCGCGUAGGCGGCCUUCUAAGUCGAACGUGAAAUCCCCGGGCUCAACCCGGGAACUGCGUCCGAUACUGGAAGGCUUGAAUCCGGGAGAGGGAUGCGGAAUUCCAGGUGGUAGCGGUGAAAUGCGUAGAUAUCUGGAGGAACACCGGUGGCGAAGGCGGCAUCCUGGACCGGUAUUGACGCUGAGGCGCGAAAGCCAGGGAGCAA
rnacentral:rRNA from 1 species